rnacentral:rRNA from 1 species
UACGGAGGGGGCUAGCGUUGCUCGGAAUCACUGGGCGUAAAGCGCACGUAGGCGGAUUCCUAAGUCAGGGGUGAAAUCCUGGAGCUCAACUCCAGAACUGCCUUUGAUACUGGGAAUCUUCGAGUCCGGGAGAGGUGAGUGGAACUGCGAGUGUAGAGGUGAAAUUCGUAGAUAUUCGCAAGAACACCAGUGGCGAAGGCGGCUCACUGGCCCGGUACUGACGCUGAGGUGCGAAAGCGUGGGGAGCAAACAGG